rnacentral:tRNA from 2 species
GGAGGAGUCGCCUAGUGGCCUAUGGCGCUUGCUUGGAGAGCAGGUUUACGGGCAACCGUAUCAGGAGUUCGAAUCUCCUCUCCUCCG